rnacentral:tRNA from 1 species
GCCAUGGUGGUCUAGCGGUUAGAACGCUGGGCUUAUAAUACUGUGGUCCCGGGUUCGAUUCCCGGCAGUGCUC